rnacentral:misc_RNA from 1 species
AAGUCGUAACAAGGUUUCCGUAGGUGAACCUGCGGAAGGAUCAUUACCGAGUUACUGGUCGCUAUUUUAAUAGCACCAAAUCUCCCACCCUUAUGUUUACUACAAUUUGUUCACUUUGGCAAAGCGUUUUUAGUAUUGCUGAGCCAUUGACAAUGAAGAUUGUGAAUGAGUCUUUGCCAAAGUUUUUACACUCAAAUUUUUUAUGAUCUGUCUGAGUUAUAUACACCAAAAAUAAAUCAAAACUUUCAACAACGGAUCUCUUGGUUCUG